CUGAACGCCUCUAAGUCAGAAUCCAUGCCAGAACGCGGUGAUACCACCCGCACGUAUAGAUGGACAAGAAUAGGCUUCGGCUUAGCGUCUUAGCAGGCGAUUCUUCCACGGCGCUCGAAGCGCGUCGUGGUAUUUCGCGUAUUGUAAUUUCAACACGAGCGGGGUCAGAUCCUUUGCAGACGACUUAGCUGUGCGAAACGGUCCUGUAAGCAGUAGAGUAGCCU
rnacentral:rRNA from 1 species